AGCUCCAAUAGCGUAUAUUUAAGUUGUUGCAGUUAAAAAGCUCGUAGUUGGAUCUUGGGUCGUAAAGGUCGGUCCGCCUACUCGGUGUGCACCUGCCCUUCCGUCCCUUUUGUCGGCGGCGUGCUCCUGGCCUUAAUUGGCUGGGUCGCGGUUCUGGCGCUGUUACUUUGAAAAAAUUAGAGUGCUCAAAGCAAGCUUAUGCUCUGAAUACAUUAGCAUGGAAUAACGUGAUAGGAGUCUGGUCCUAUUGUGUUGGCCUUCGGGACCGGAGUAAUGAUUAAUAGGGACUGUCGGGGGCAUUCGUAUUUCAUUGUCAGAGGUGAAAUUCUUGGAUUUAUGAAAGACGGACCACUGCGAAAGCAUUUGCCAAGGAUGUUUUCAUUAAUCAAGAACGAAAGUA
rnacentral:rRNA from 1 species